AGCAGCUACUCGAAGUGAUUUUGCGCGUAUGUGACGAGUGUUUUGUAGGUAAUAUAAAAUGAUUUUAUACAAAAAUUAACUUAAAAAAACAUUAUGUUUUAAUAAUCUAUAUAUAUUUACAUCUUUAAACAUAUCAUUUUUAAAUAUUUUUUCUGUAUUUUUUUUACGGUAAUUUAUAAAAUACCUGCCAAGAUGCAUCCUCGGCUUGUCGAGACAAGUAUCGCAAUUAUAAGUUGUUUCGUGCCUUUCUCCUGCUUUGUUUCGCAGCCGACGUCGAAGCUCGAUCUCACGGUUGUCGAAUAUCUCCUCUCAACUGGUCUACUAAAGUUUUUAUAAAUCGCAGGUGGUUAAUUGGCCUCUCAUUCUUUUUUUU
rnacentral:misc_RNA from 1 species